rnacentral:rRNA from 1 species
UGAGGGAUAUUGCACAAUGGGCGAAAGCCUGAUGCAGCGACGCCGCGUGGGUGAAGAAGGCCUUCGGGUCGUAAAGCCCUUUUCCCACUGAAGAGGAAGGACGGUAAGUGGGGAAUAAGUCUCGGCUAACUACGUGCCAGCAGCCGCGGUAAAACGUAGGAGGCAAGCGUUAUCCGGAGUUACUGGGCGUAAAGAGCGCGCAGGCGGUUCGAUAAGUGGGUCGUGAAAGCUCCCGGCUAAACUGGGAGAG